ACACAGGUAGGCGAGGAGAGAAUCCAAAGACGAGCGGGAGAACCCUCAUUAAGGAACUCGGCAAAAAGACUCCGUAACUUCGGGAGAAGGAGUGCCGAAAGGCCGCAGAGAAGAGGCCCAAGCGACUGUUUACCAAAAACACAGGUUUCUGCUAAGUCGAAAGACGAAGUAUAGGAGCUGACGCCUGCCCGGUGCUGGAAGGUUAAGGGGAAGUGUUAGGUAUAAGCCGAAGCACAGAACUUAAGCCCCAGUAAACGGCGGCCGUAACUAUAACGGUCCUAAGGUAGCGAAAUUCCUUGUCGGGUAAGUUCCGACCUGCACGAAAGGCGUAACGACUUGGGCGCUGUCUUGAUGGGGGACCCGGUGAAAUUGUAGUACUCGUGAAGAUGCGAGUUACCCGCGACAGGACAGAAAGACCCCAUGGAGCUUUACUGCAGCUUGUCACUGAAUUUUAGUAAUAUCUGUACAGG
rnacentral:rRNA from 1 species